CCUACUGGCACAACUAUUAGAGCGGUCCAUCCAUAUUGCGAGAAGAGGCUCCAAGCCCCUACCCAGCAGAAAGGGAGCUCCAGCACACAUACCAGUGAUGCUGCACACAUCGGAGGCAAAGCGGGUCCGCGUUUGGCAGAAAGUGUGUUUAUUAUAAUAGAGGAUUUAGGAGAGAAAAGAAGGAAGAGAACAGCUAGUCAGAUGACAGUGCAGUGAUGUGAAUCAUACAAGCCAGAAACUCAGCCUGAGCAACCGACCAUGAGUAAUAGUGCAGCUUAUGUACGCUACUGUGAUCUAAUUAAAUGUGCUCUUCAUGUGCAA